rnacentral:rRNA from 1 species
CCUACGGGUGGCUGCAGUGGGGAAUAUUGCACAAUGGGGGAAACCCUGAUGCAGCGACGCCGCGUGAGCGAUGAAGUAUUUCGGCAUGUAAAGCUCUAUCAGCCGGGAAGAAAAUGACGGUACCUGACUAAGAAGCCCCGGCUAAAAAGGUGCCAGCAGCCGCGGUACUACGGAGGGGGCAAGCGUUAUCCGGAUUUACGGGGCGUAAAGGGAGCGUAGACGGCUUGGCAAGCCAGAUGUGAAAGGCUGGGGCGCAACCCCAGGACUGCAUUUGGAACUGGCAUGCUAGAGUGUCGGAGAGGCAGGCGGAAUGCCUAGUGUAGCGGUGAAAUGCGUAGAUAUUAGGAGGAACACCGGUGGCGAAGGCGGCCUGCUGGACGAUGACUGACGUUGAGGCUCGAAAGCGUGGGGAGCAAACAGGAUUAGAUACCCUUGUAGUC